GCUGCUCUAUACAGAGCUCCGCUGUAGAACGUCGCCUUUACAGGAGCUACUCUUGAUUUUGAACUUUUCUGACAACAUCAGAUUAUACUAUAUUCUGCAAGGAGAAAUGACUCAAAAAGACAGAACGCAUCUGGAUCAAUCUGCAGAUGAAGGCUAAGAAAAGAAUAAAAGACAAAAAUGGCAAGUUACAACCUAAUGAACCAGGAGAGAAAAAGAUGAUUGUAGUUAGACAGAACAGCAUAAAUGGCUUCAGACCAAACUAUUCGGAAGAUCUAGAUGGCUUUAUACUGAUGUUUCAAAAAAUGUCACAGAUUCUCACACAUCAUAUACAGCAGCUCAUUUCUGUUCCUGGAGGCUGACCUUCCUAUACACAGUAGCUCAGUUUUUAACCCUGUGUUCCUGGAGAUUUGGUUUUGAAAGAACAGGAUCAGGCUCCUAAGGGGACAUAGUGAUCAACUGUGUGCUAUAGUGCAAAGUGUGCGUUUUCUCUCCUUAGAAAGCAGCAGUUCCUUUCACCAAAGUGGCAAAGUGUUCAUGUUCAUUCUCUGAUUAAGCAGUCUGUGUUUUAAAGUCAAAGGAAAAGCCUGAAUCAGUUGAGGGGCUCUGGCUGCUCUGUUAUGGUUUGAGUACAUUCAUCCCUCAAGUCUAAUCAACACAAAGCUGAUCGUCUUCAUCCUAUGAUGACACAUUUCUCUCCUGAUGGGAGUUUUCUCCUCCAGGAUGAGGGCACAAGGACUCAGUGAUGGGUUCAGGAAUAUACAUAUACUUAAAACUUCACAGUCACUAGAUCUCAACUCAUUUAAACACUUAUCCGUUUUUUUGUUGUUGUUUUUUAAUGUCAGCUCUUUUAUGACGAUGCUGUACCACAGAAUACUGCAGGCUAGUGUAAUAUGAAUGCAAAAGAAUGAAUUUUUAUACAGGCUCAUGUUUUUUGAAUCACUGAUUACUGUGUUGUACUGCACACUGUAUGAUAUUACAUUGGAAUGGAACAUGGUGCAGCAAUGCCAGUGUCAUAAGUUUGAUUCCCAGGGAACGCAUAUAGUCAUAAGACGCAUAGCUUUAACGCAGUUGUUAUCAACCCAGUUUCUAGAGACCCCUAUACUGUACACUUUAAAGACUCUUUAAAAGUCUGAUAAAUGCAAUAAAUUUUGUGGAGUCUGUCCUAAUGAAUUGAUGACUGCACUGCAAGAAAUAUGAACUACAAUAGAAUUAUAUUCAUAACUGUAUUGCAAUAAAUCUGUACUACUCCAGGGAAUAAACCUGGUUUACUUGUAAAAAAAAAAAAAAAAAAAACUUAAAGUGCUUGUUUGUGUAUCAUGUAUUUUGAUUGAACAUUAUUAAAGCAAGAAUCUGUUCUGACUUGCUCUUGAGUUGUUGAGCAAGAUCAGACAUUAAAACAAAAACAAUCAAAAACAGCUCUCUACAGGAGAUUGUAAGUAUUACAGCUGAGAAUAAUCACAUCAGUAUUUACAUCACAUCAGAAUUUAGAGGAGGUUUUUAUAGUUAUUUAAAUUAAAUUUGUAAAUGUAUAUUCCAGAAGUAAUCCAGAAUUCCAAGAGUUAAUCUGCUUGAGAAUUAUCUAUUGUAAUAUUAUUGCUAUAUCUUUAGAUUAAUUAUAGCACUAAAAAAGAGAUGCUUCAAACACAUUCAUUUACACUGAUUUUAAUUAGAAAAAAAAACAUAAAAAAAAAAAAAUAACUAUAUAUCCAGACAGAUCUAUCUGUAAUGCUGAUCAUGCGCUCAGAGUACAACACAAAAAUGACCCUGUCACAUUAUUGAAUUUAAGCAAAUGGGACAAAUGGGAAUUUAAGCAAA